GGAAUCAUGCACAAUGGACGAAAGUCUGAUGCUGCGACGUCGCGUGAAGGAUGCAGGUUCUAGGAUCGUAAACUUCUUUUCUUUGGGCGCCAUGUUUCUGAGAGUACCAAAUGAAUAAGUGCCUGCUAACUCCGUUCCAGAAGCAUCGGUAAUGCGUAGGGCACAAGCGUUAACCGGAAUUACUGGGCGUAAAGAGAAGCGUAGGUGUCUUAGUAAGUUUGAUGUUAAAUCUGCCGGCUCAACCGGCAAACCGCAUUGGAUACUAGUAAGAUUGAGUUAGGUAGAGAAGAGGGGAAUUCCUGGUGGAGCGGUUAAAUGCGUUGAUAUCAGGAGGAACACCAAUAGCGAAGGCACCUCUUUGGACCUAUACUGACACUGAGGCUCGAAAGCGUGGGGAGCAAAA
rnacentral:rRNA from 1 species